AGAGUUUGAUCAUGGCUCAGAUUGAACGCUGGCGGCAGGCCUAACACAUGCAAGUCGAACGGUAACAGGAAGAAGCUUGCUUCUUUGCUGACGAGUGGCGGACGGGUGAGUAAUGUCUGGGAAACUGCCUGAUGGAGGGGGAUAACUACUGGAAACGGUAGCUAAUACCGCAUAACGUCGCAAGACCAAAGAGGGGGACCUUCGGGCCUCUUGCCAUCGGAUGUGCCCAGAUGGGAUUAGCUAGUAGGUGGGGUAACGGCUCACCUAGGCGACGAUCCCUAGCUGGUCUGAGAGGAUGACCAGCCACACUGGAACUGAGACACGGUCCAGACUCCUACGGGAGGCAGCAGUGGGGAAUAUUGCACAAUGGGCGCAAGCCUGAUGCAGCCAUGCCGCGUGUAUGAAGAAGGCCUUCGGGUUGUAAAGUACUUUCAGCGGGGAGGAAGGGAGUAAAGUUAAUACCUUUGCUCAUUGACGUUACCCGCAGAAGAAGCACCGGCUAACUCCGUGCCAGCAGCCGCGGUAAUACGGAGGGUGCAAGCGUUAAUCGGAAUUACUGGGCGUAAAGCGCACGCAGGCGGUUUGUUAAGUCAGAUGUGAAAUCCCCGGGCUCAACCUGGGAACUGCAUCUGAUACUGGCAAGCUUGAGUCUCGUAGAGGGGGGUAGAAUUCCAGGUGUAGCGGUGAAAUGCGUAGAGAUCUGGAGGAAUACCGGUGGCGAAGGCGGCCCCCUGGACGAAGACUGACGCUCAGGUGCGAAAGCGCGGGGAGCAAACAGGAUUAGAUACCCUGGUAGUCCACGCCGUAAACGAUGUCGACUUGGAGGUUGUGCCCUUGAGGCGUGGCUUCCGGAGCUAACGCGUUAAGUCGACCGCCUGGGGAGUACGGCCGCAAGGUUAAAACUCAAAUGAAUUGACGGGGGCCCGCACAAGCGGUGGAGCAUGUGGUUUAAUUCGAUGCAACGCGAAGAACCUUACCUGGUCUUGACAUCCACAGAACUUUCCAGAGAUGGAUUGGUGCCUUCGGGAACUGUGAGACAGGUGCUGCAUGGCUGUCGUCAGCUCGUGUUGUGAAAUGUUGGGUUAAGUCCCGCAACGAGCGCAACCCUUAUCUUUUGUUGCCAGCGGUCCGGCCGGGAACUCAAAGGAGACUGCCAGUGAUAAACUGGAGGAAGGUGGGGAUGACGUCAAGUCAUCAUGGCCCUUACGACCAGGGCUACACACGUGCUACAAUGGCGCAUACAAAGAGAAGCGACCUCGCGAGAGCAAGCGGACCUCAUAAAGCGCGUCGUAGUCCGGAUUGGAGUCUGCAACUCGACUCCAUGAAGUCGGAAUCGCUAGUAAUCGUGGAUCAGAAUGCCACGGUGAAUACGUUCCCGGGCCUUGUACACACCGCCCGUCACACCAUGGGAGUGGGUUGCAAAAGAAGUAGGUAGCUUAACCUUCGGGAGGGCGCUUACCACUUUGUGAUUCAUGACUGGGGUGAAGUCGUAACAAGGUAACCGGGGGAACCUGCGGUUG
rnacentral:rRNA from 1 species